AAGGAACAAGUGGGUCAUUUAUUUUUAAUGGCAUCCCGGAUCGUGUCUGAGGAUUGAUCAGAGGAUUUUGUUUUGUAAACGAGGCACAGUGUCAUGGAGAGUCACAAAGAAACAUUUGUUGAAAGAUGAAGCGGUACUAGAUCUGACUGCAGCUGCAUCACAAACUAACAAAGAAAGAAAGUCUUUGGAACAAGAUCGAAGAAGUACGACGGGUUGGUGUAGAACUUCAGCCCUUCCUUCCCAUCAUCCCUAGAGACAGACGCAGAUCAGGUGUGUUCAGUGAUGCCGUGCUACACACUGAGAGUAGUAUGCAGUAUGUAUAGUGUACACAGUGUGAGUUAUCUGUAUGUAUGAAUACUACAUUCGCAGAAAUGUAAUGGAGUUCUGUAUCCCAUAAUGCAAUGCACUUGGCUUGACCUUCCAUUUCCAAUGGAUGAAACUGUAAUAUCGGAUCAUUUUA